GACGAACGCUGGCGGCGUGCCUAACACAUGCAAGUCGAACGGAGACAAACCUUCGGGUUUGUCUUAGUGGCGGACGGGUGAGUAACGCGUGAGCAACCUGCCUUCAAGAGGGGAAUAACACACCGAAAGGUGUGCUAAUACCGCAUAAAGUCAAUGGAUAGCAUUGUUUAUUGACCAAAGGAGCAAUCCGCUUGAAGAUGGGCUCGCGUCCGAUUAGCUAGUAGGUAGGGUAACGGCCUACCUAGGCGACGAUCGGUAGCCGAACUGAGAGGUUGAUCGGCCACAUUGGGACUGAGACACGGCCCAGACUCCUACGGGAGGCAGCAGUGGGGGAUAUUGCGCAAUGGGGGAAACCCUGACGCAGCAACGCCGCGUGAAGGAUGAAGGUCUUCGGAUUGUAAACUUCUUUGACGAGGGACGAAAAAAAUGACGGUACCUCGAAAACAAGCCACGGCUAACUACGUG
rnacentral:rRNA from 1 species